rnacentral:rRNA from 1 species
UGUAAGCGUAUACCAAAGUUGUUGCAGUUAAAACGCUCGUAGUCGGAAUUUGGCAGUUCCGGAUGUGUGCACGUCGUGUGCGCACUUCGCGGGGAUUGCUUUUGUGGUCUUGCGUAGGAUGAGGCACUUUUAUUAGUGAACGUCCUCACGCAACCACUUUUUACUGUGAGAAAAUCAGAGUGCUCAAAGCAGGCAUUUGCCGUGAAUGUAUUAGCAUGGAAUAAUAGAAUAGGACUUGGUUCUAUUUUGUUGGUUUGUUGGGACUGAGUAAUGAUUAAGAGGGACAGUUGGGGGCAUUUGUAUUUCGGUGCUAGAGGUGAAAUUCUUAGAUUACCGAAAGACAAACUGCUGCGAAAGCGUCCGCCAAGGAUGUCUUCAUUGA